rnacentral:rRNA from 1 species
GGUUGAUCCUGCCAGUAGUCAUACGCUUGUCUCAUAGAUUAAUCCAUGCCAGUGCCAGUAUAAGUUUAUACACAACGAAACUGCGAAUGGCUCAUUAUAACAGUAAUAAUUUCUGUGGAAGUAGUUCCCACACGGAUACCUGUGGUAAUUCUGGAGCUAAUACGUGAUUAAACACUUGGCUUUCGAGUUCGAGUGGCACUUAUUAGAUAAAGAACCAGCCCAUGAAAAUGGUAAAUUGGUGAUCCAUAAUAACUUAGUGAAUCGUAUGGCCUCGGCUUUCGAUAGUCCACUUA